rnacentral:lncRNA from 1 species
CAAGAGCAUCAAGAGUACGGUCUUGGCAGACUUCGUAGCGGAAUAGACGUCGACGAGCGUGGAAGAGAAUGAGCCGGAGACCAGCCUGCCUGGCAAGCUGGACGAGGAACACUGGGUCCUCUACUUCGACGGCGUGUUCAGUCUCCAAGGAGCUGGCACUGAGGUCGUCAUCGAGUCACCGACAGGGGACCAGUUGAGGUUCGUUGUCCAGCUCGAUUUCCCGAACUCCACCAAUAACACGGUGGAGUACGAGGGCUUGCUCGCUGGGUUACGGGCGGCGAUCGCCCUCGACAUCAAGCGCCUGGUUGUUCGCGGAUGAUAUGGACAUGCUAACCAUGGAUACGACCUUUGGUACCCUCAAUUCUAUAAUAUUUGACAAGAUUUAUAAUCAGGUGAAUUCAAGUAGUAAUUGUUUUCAUUGUCAUACUUAUGAAGAGACGGAGCUACUACUAUCUUGUCUCGUUUUAUUACGUUGGCAUCCGCUAUUUAUCUUGUUCUUGCUUGUUCUUCGAUUGCUUGCAGGAACAAAGACCUUCGUGGUCAGGUUGAUCGUGCCCCCGCGUGAUCAAUAACCCUCUGGAGUUGGUGUAUCGAUUGCUAAGGCACUGCCUCCUAGGUCGUAGUCGGAUCGUCAACGUCACCUCCUACCCAAAUCGAGAGUUACCAAUCUCAUCGAAAGAUCGGGCCACCCCCGUCCCGUAUCACGUGGUAUCAGAGCUUAAGGUUGCUCGGUGAGAUUUUUCUAGUUUAUCCGUAGUUUAGAUCUGUUUUUACCUAUCGUCCAGAAAAAGCCAAACAAAAAUUAGAAUUAGUUACCUUGUCCUAGAACCAAUCUGAGCCUUGCAAUUUUCACAUUAGUAUUUGCAUUGUUGAAUCUUUGCUGCAUUAAUCGUGUCGAGUUGCUGGAUUAGAUUGGAUCAAUUUUCAGAUUUUUUUCUACUAGAUCGAACUUGCUUUUGGUUUUCUUGUUCUUCGUGUGACGCAGGUUUCCUUCAUCAAUCUUCCGCCGCCAAACUUCCUGCCACACCACCGCCAUAAUCUUCCGCCGCCACCAUAUCUUCCACCGAGUCUCUCUUCGAGUCCUACACCGAGUCCCUCAUCGAGUCCUACACCGAGUACCUCUUCGAGUCCUACACCGAGUCCCUCGUUGAGUCCUACAUCGUGUCCUACAUCGAGUUCUACAUUGAGUCGGCAAGUUAUAGUUUUCAGCCGCAAGUUCGAGUCCGAGUCCAAUCAAGAGUGCUUUUGGAAAGUUUUCAUAAUAGAUCAUAUUUUGUUUAGAGAUCAAGUUGUUCGGAAAGUUGUCAAAAAAAAAAAAGAAAGGAAAAAAAAAGAAAGAAAGAAAAAAAAAACGAAAAAAAAAGAGAAAGAGUUCGAGUCAGUUUCGGACCCGAGUCCGAGUAGAAUUUUAGUUUCGGGUGGGUUUGACCCGUGUUCAGUAAAACGGGCGUAUCUUUUGCGUACCAACUCGGAUUUGGACGUUCUUGGACUUUUUGGAAAGCUCACGACGAGGCGCAUCAGGAAAUAUCCAGGGCGAUGCCCUGCACUGUGACCCUCAAAUUCGGUUUGUAAGGUGGACUUUUGAAGCUUCCAAGUUUCUGCAUCCGUUUACCAGCGUCGCUGCAGCCCGGUGUUUCUUAGUUUUCUCCACCGUCCGACAUCCGUUUUGAGUGAUCUUGCCCUUGCUGGAAAGCUUGUGUCGAUACCCUUCUAACCUAUAUUUUUCCAUAUUUUUUCUGAAUUUUUCUUACUGAAGCCUUUGCUGUUCUUCGACAGACCGACGUACAUUUUUCCGGUCCUUCUUUUGCGUGAGUUUCUGGGGUUAAAGAAAAAAGAAAAAAAAAAGAAGAAGAAAAGAAUAAGAAGCCAAACAGAAGGCCACAAAAAGAAAAAAAAAAGAAAAAAUCCCAGGGAUUUACUUGUUGUGCCAUCUUUUGAUCUAUCUAUUCCUACCUUGUUCAGUAUCUAGGCUUAGAUUAUUUCUGUAAUUCGUUCUUAUUGACUCCAGCAGAUAGGACUAGCAUUAUUGAGCAUAUUUUUCAACUUUGCAUUGCUGAUUUGAUUAUUUGCUAUUCUUUGCUACUCACAAAAGCCUCCAAGCUCCACAGAUUCUACACCUAGGUUGGUUUGUUACCAAGGCAUCGAUACAUUUAAUCUUCGGAGGGCUUGGUUACGCCGCUGGCCAUCACCUUCCUGUUUUGCAUGGUAAGAACUCGUAAGAACUUGAUUUUUAGCUUGAGAGUUGAGCGACUUUUAGCCACAUCUAGUAGUUGAUAGGAACAUAUUACUGUGAUUUGUUUCUUGUUUUCUACUAACCAUGACAGGACUUACACGAAGUAUGGCAACUAGACCGAUGCUAUUUCGUGACCGCGAUGAGUGCUUUUCACCCCGGCCAUCCUCCACGUCUCUUGUUGAUAAUGUCACGGCAACGGUACAAAACAAUCCUUCUAAUACAAUUAAAUUGUGUGUACCUUUCUUUGAGGGGAAAAAUGAUGCUGAAACGUAUAUAGAUUGGGAGCUAGCUUUAACUGCACAAUUCACAUGCUUCCAUGUACUUGAUAGUCGCAAGGUUCAAAUUGCUAGUAGUAAAUUUACUUUUGCUGCUUUAUCUUGGUGGAAUGAGAUAGUUAGAGAAAAGAAAAUUCAACACACUUGGGUUGAUAUGAAGAAAAUGAUGAGAGAAAAAUAUGUCCCUUUUAGUUAUGCUUUUAACUUGCGUUCAAAAUUACGACGUUUGGCACA